AAAGUCGUAACAAGGUUUCCGUAGGUGAACCUGCGGAAGGAUCAUUACAAAUCCAAGUCUCUUGAGACAAGUUGAAAUGUGUGUAAUGCAAUGCGCUUACACAAAUCUUCUAUACAUUCAGUCGAACAACAUUAUAUCCUUUUUUUACACAACUUGUAACAAUGGAUCUCUAGGCUCUU
rnacentral:misc_RNA from 1 species